rnacentral:rRNA from 1 species
CCUACGGGAGGCAGCAGUGAGGAAUAUUGGUCAAUGGACGGAAGUCUGAACCAGCCAUGCCGCGUGCAGGAAGACGGCUCUAUGAGUUGUAAACUGCUUUUGUACAAGGGUAAACCUGAAUACGUGUAUUCAGCUGAAAGUACUGUACGAAUAAGGAUCGGCUAACUCCGUGCCAGCAGCCGCGGUAAUACGGAGGAUCCAAGCGUUAUCCGGAUUUAUUGGGUUUAAAGGGUGCGUAGGCGGAUUGAUAAGUUAGAGGUGAAAUGUCCGAGCUUAACUCGGGAACUGCCUCUAAUACUGGUGGUCUAGAGAGUAGAUGCGGUAGGCGGAAUGUGUGGUGUAGCGGUGAAAUGUUUAGAGAUCACACAGAACACCGAUUGCGAAGGCAGCUUACCAAUCUAUAUCUGACGUUGAGGCACGAAAGCGUGGGGAGCAAACAGGAUUAGAUACCCUUGUAGUC